ensembl:lncRNA
GGAGGAGAGAGCCUGGGAAACUGAAUCUUGAGUGAAGUGGAGCAUAGCUGAGAUCCCUAUGAAGCAGAAAACAGUUUCCACAGAGAAAGCUCUCUUCCUGAUGAUUCUAUCCUAAAGAAGAACAAUAGAAAAGGGAAGAAAAAUACUUUCUGCCAACCUAAGAAGUUCAUUCAGAGGAUGAAGACAAGAACCAUGAAAAGAAUGGAAGCCAUAUUAUUCAGAAAUCGUCUGAAGGAACUUGAGGGCAUUCCACCUGGAGAAGAGAAGGGGACCUUCAGGGCGAUAAUCAACUAAAUUUGACUUGGGCUUCCAAAGCAGAAAAAGCUGAAUAGGUGAUGUUAGCAAAAUCCAUCCCACUCCCUGGCGGGGCACCCACACCCUGCCUUCCAGAUCAUCUUGUGACUACAGUAGGAACCCCUCAGCUGGCUCUGUGCCCCUUUGCUGACUCAGGACUCCAGGGCAGUGUCUGAAAUUGAAAACAUUUGGAGACCACUGAUCUUGAGAAUUCAGUUACAAGCAGCAACACUGAGAACCUGCUAUAUUUAGAACCCAUGCAGACAAUGAUGAAAGCCAAGCAACCACCUGUGUAACCUUGUGACAUAUCACUUUACUCCACUUCAGCCUGGGCAUUUGUAAAAUGAUGGGGUUGGCCCAGAUCAACUCUAAAGUCCCUGUCAGUUCUAAGAAUGUGGAGAGUGACCAGAAAACAGAAAUAAUGGUCUUCAUUCCUCAUGAGGCAGACAGAACCAAACUUCACAUGAAAGAAUAUUUAUGAAGGAGUGGCUGGGUGGUGCAAUGGAUAGAACCUCUGGCCUGGAGUUAGGAAGACCUGAGUUCAAAUGCCACCUUGGACAAUACUUAGCUGUGUAACCAUGGAUGCUUACCUCAGUUUCUUCAUCUGUAAAAUGAUCUGGAAGGAAAUAGCAAACCACUCCAGUAUCUUUGCCAAGACAACUCCAAAAUGGGGUCACAGUCAGAUACAAUUGAAAGAACCUACUGACAAAGUAUAAAUUCACUGAUGCAUCUUAAUCCAACAUUAAAAACAAUCUUCAAAUGUAUACGCUGGAUGCUUAAAGUGCGGCAAAGUUCUGGAGUGCUUGAAAAGAUGUUCUCAAGCAGUGAGGGAGGGAACUAGCUUUUAAUCUGAAGCGUGAGUUUUGAAUCAGUGUUCCAAGAAACGACUCAUGUUAAAUGAAGGAUGGGCCAAGAUCUUGUUUGGGGGAGAGGAGGCAGAUGAACCAGUUAGCAAUGGCACAUCACAUCAUAUUCAGUGGAAGCCUGAGACAAUUGUCCCCAGAGAAUCAAAUUCUAACGAAGGUCAUCUCUGUUGAACUCCCAGAAACCUCAACACUGUAGUCAGAAAGGCAGCAAGACAUAGUAGUUAGUGUUGGAUUUGGAACUUGGAGCACAUUGGUUCAAUUAUUAUCUUGGACCCUUGCUGGCAGCAUGAUCCUGGGCAAGACAUUUAACCUAGAAGAGAAUCAGUUUCUUCAUCUGCAAAAUGGGGGCACUUAUCUCUCUGAGUUGCCCUAAGGAUCAGAUGAGCUAAUGUGUGACUUAAAAUCCUAGAUAAAUAUCAGCUCCGGUCUUGAUAACCCUGGGGCUGACUCUAAAGCAGGCAGAUUAAGCUAUUGAGAAGCCUGUGACUGGGUUGCAGUUCCUUCCUAAUUUGGAAAAAAUACCUGGGGUGGAGUAAAGAGUAGCCUGAAGAAAGAGCUGCUCCCAAAUUUUCCUGCCCACAGGAUUAUUCAGACACUCCACCCUUUCCCUCCACUGUAUUACUGUGCUGUCAGGCAUUUUAAAAAUCCAGGGUACUUGGGAACAGGCAAUGGGGAUCCUGGGGAUGGCGGUGUUCUUUUGAUCUGAGCCAUGAAUCAUAUUUGCUCUGAAGGUCUUUGAGACCCACAUGUUCUGCACUGUUUGGUGUAAUAUUCUUCUUUAAAAUGUAAUCUUCUCUGGGAGCAGGUUUCUUGGGGAGCUUCUGGAGGCAGCCUUUGUUUCAGUUCAGUAUAAUGGCCCCAAAUGCAGCCAAGAAUUAAAGUCCAGAUCCUUUAUUGUUUCCUUUUAAGUCUUGUCUCCUUCCUGGGGCCCAGUGAGCUUUCUUAGAGACCUAUCUCUCCCCUUAGUUCCUGCCACUAGUUCUUUUGCCUCUGCCAGCUUCUGUCUCCAGCCAGCAUAAAGGUGGAAAAUAGAAUGAAUCUGUCUCCUCCUCCAAGAGGGGGCUUCUUCUCUUGUGGGCUUGUCGUCCUUUAAGACGACAAGAAGAGACGCUCUCUUAAAGGUGUGAAUCUUGUAUGUAGAACUCUAAUUAGUACUAAGUACAUUAGUGAACUAGAGAACUGUUAAGUACCAUGCUAAAUUAGAUAACUGAUUUAGCACCUUGUAAGAAUCCUAACAGCUUGGGUCUUCCAAUGCUUUUCCACUAACCCAUCUCCAUGUGCUGCCCACACCAAGCUCCUGGGAGCCUCAGCUAAGGGCUGUGGAUCUGGCAGGGUUGAUAGACAUCUCAGUGAUCUAAUGUAACUUUCUUGGUGUUCAAAAGAAAAGAUGCAAUAUAAUGUACAUUAGGAGUACUUGGAUUAAAAUCUUGCCUCUGACACUUCCUAUCUAUGAAUCUGGAUAGAUUUAACCUUUUCAGGCAUUUGCUAGGAUUUGUCUGAAUGCUCAAUUCAGGAGUCCAGGACCUGAGUUCAAUUUCUGGCACUGCUUCAUAUUACCAAUGUAAUAUUGGAUAAGUCUAGGUUUUUCAAUUUCUUCUUCUGGAAAAUGAGGGGGUUUGUUUAAUUCUGAAGAUCCUUCUAGUUCUGUAAUCCCAUAAUCUCCAUUGGUUGUAAUGGGUUGUAAUCUGCAUUAGCGGUGGGUGUUCCCACACUGGGAAUGACUCAUGUUGAUAAAAUCCUGGAUCCUUUCGUUAUAUAAAACAGGCAAACAGACCCAGAGCAAACUCAACCGCCUAUUCCUCCUCUUCCUUUCCUUGUGCCAUAGACAGAAACUAUUCAUUUUGAAUAUAACUGUUAUUUUCAAGACUACUUUUGGUACAUACUUUACAACUAUCAAAUCCUAGUUUUCAUCUCCCAAUCGCCUCAUCCCACUAACUUUUAGGAUGUAGUAAACCCAUAAACAAAGUCUUAAACAAAAUUCACGAGUAACUGGAGCUUCUGCAGCUUUGAAUGGGUUGCAAUUUGCAUCACUGAAGGGAAUACCCAUAAUGAUGAGAUCCACUGGAACACUGAAUUAUUUGCAUACUCACUAUGAAAUGAUAACUCUUGAUCCAACUGGCAAGUUCCUAAAAUGCCUCCUCCUAAAUGAUGACAAGAGGGGAAAAAACAAGCUAACUUCCUUUUAGUUUUGUGCUAAGGAUAGUUUUUUCUAGGCUGGAUUUGUGAUUUUAAUUUCUUUCGUAUUCUAAUUAUCUGAAAACUGGCAAUACAUGCAUAGUAUGGUAUUCUGUUUUUGGGUCAAGGACUCCUUAACGUGGUGCUGCCUAGGUGUUGGAGAUGGGAAUGGAGACCCCAAAAGUUUGGGUUCCCAGAUUCCUGUCAUGAGGUAUCUCAAAAGAAUUUGCAGAUUUGAACCCAUGUCCUAAUCAAAGGGCAAAGUUUUAUUGAAAGUAAUAGUACAUUACAAAGCGGACUGAAUUCUAAGGGAAUCCAGGAAAGAAAUUGAAGCAAGGAGAUACACUUAUCCAGCUUUCAGAUCAUGGAAAUGCUAAUUCUGUGGUUCAUAGUAGGAAGCAGUGGUCUCCAGAAAGAGUGAUUCUUGGUUGUUCAGAUUAUUACUGACAAGAUUACCAGUCAGCAUUGAGGAAUGGUCUUAUUCAUUAUUGUCUCAGGAGUUUGAUCUGUGGGAGUUUCCUGAGGCCAGAAGCUAUGGCAGAUUCCAAAGCCAAAAGACCCAGACCACUGACCCAUUAGAACAGAAGUCCCCCCAAGGUCAGGGGACUGUAAAAUCACAUUAUAUCAUAUAGGGACUCCUCCAAAUAAUGUUUUUAAAUGUGUAAAACAAAUUAUAAGAAUUAUAAAGAAAACCAGUUAUACUGAAAUACAGUAAUCAAAAUAUUUUUCAGAAAAACAGGUUCACACUCUAAUAUAUUAUUGAGGGAAUGGCAAAUUGAUCCAACUAUUCUGGAAAUCAAUUUGGAAGCCAAAUUGCAAUGGAAUUGUGUAUACCCUUUGAUCCAGCAAUACCACUACUAGAUAUGUAUCCCAAAGAUCAUAAAAAGGGGAAAGGACCCACAUAUACAAAGAUGUUUAUAGCAACUCUUUUUGUGGUGGCAAAGAUUGGAAACUGAGUGGAUGCCCAUCAACUGGGGAAUGGCUGAACAAGUUAUAGUAUAUGAAUAUAAUGGAAUAUUAUUGUGCUAUAAGAAAUGAUAAGCAGGCAGAUUUCAGAAAAACCUGGAAAGACUUACAUGAACUGAUGCUGAGUGAAUUGAGCAGAACCAGAACAGUAACAGCAACAUUGUGCUGUGUGUGAUCAGCUUUGGUGGAUUUAGGUCUCCUCAGCAAUGCAAUGAUAAAAGACAAUUCCAAAAGAUCAUGAUGGAAAAUGUUUAUCCCUAUCCAGAGAAAGAAGCAUGGAGCUGAAUGCAGAUUGAAGCAUACUAUUUUAAUUUUUGGAUUUUGGGGUUUUUUUGUCUUUUCUUUCUUGUGAUUUUCCCCUUUUCUUCUUCUUUUCAUUCAUUCAUUCAUCUUUUUCAUUCAUCAUUCAUUUCAUUCAUCUUUUUCAACAUGACUAAUAUGAAAAUGUUUAAUAUUGUACAUGUAUAACCUAUAUCACAUUGCUUGCCAUUUUGAGAGGAGCUAUGGGAAAGUAGUGAAAGAGGGGGGAAGAUAGAACUCAAAAUCUUGUAAAAGUGGAUGUUGAUUAUAUUUCUACCAUGUUUAACAUAUAUUGGACUACUUGCCAUCUAGAGAAGGGCAUGGGGGAAAGGAGGGGAAAUUGGAACACAUAGUUUUCCAAGAGCUAAUGUUAAAAAAUUGUUCAUGCAUAUGUUUUUAUAAACAUAUAAGCAUAUAUGUUUAUGUAUGUAUAAACUUUUUAUUUAAAGCUUUAAUUUUAAAAAGUGAAUGUUGAUGAAGCAAGCAAAACCAGAAAACAUUGUAGACAGCAACAAGAAGAUUGGGUGGAUGAUCAAUUAUGAUGAGAUUUGGUUCUUCUGGGAAAUUCCAGUGAUCCAAAGCAAUUCUAAUAAAUUCGGGAUGGAAUUCAGAGAGAAAACUUUGGAGACUGAAUGUGGAUCAAUGCAUCUAUUUUCACCCUUUUCUUUUUUGUUUUUUUUUUCCCUCAAGGGUUUUCCCUAUUGUUCUGAUUGUUUUCUCCCAACAUGACUCAUAUGGAAAUAUGCAAAACAAUGAAUGUACAUGUAUAAGCUAAAACAAAUUAAAAAUAUUUAAAGAAUAAAAUUAAAAAGCAGAUGUUGAAAACUAUCUUUACAUGAAAUUGGGAAAAAUACAUAAACAUUCUUAAAAAUAAAGUUCACAAACCCUAGAUUAGGAGCCUCUGGAAAAGAAGACUAUUAUCUCUUUAUAUUUUAGAAAUGAGGUCUUUAUCCAAACCCUUGGAUGUAAAAAUUUUUUCCCAGUUUACUGAUUCCCCAAAGUAGACAGUUAUCUACUAAGUCAGUAAUCUCCCUAGAUCUCUUUUUCUUAGGAAGCACUACCCUGCCUAUGUAUCUCAUAGGAUGGUUAUAGAGAUUAGAGUAGAUGUGAAAGUAUUUUGAAGACCACUAAGUGCUAUAAAAUGCAAGUAUUAUGAGUAAUAAUAUUAGUAAUCAUCAUCAUCAUCAUUUCAGAUUGUCCAGAGGAACCAUUAUAGGAAGGAAUGACUUUGGAUAGCUGUAGCAAGAAUUGUAGCAAAUUUGAAAUCAAAAGCCCCAAGUUCAAAUUCCAUCUCUGACAUUUUCUAACUUUGUGAUGAUGGGCAAAUCUUAACCUCAAUGAGCCUCACUUUCCCCAUUUGUGAAAUGAAGCUGAUAAUAAAGUCCUCUAUAACCUGACCUCUUGUUACAUUUCUGGAAUUCUUACACAUUAUUCCCUUUUAUAUGCUCUAAAUACCAGCAGAAGGUGGCAUUCCAUCUCUGGUCUACUUGUGCAACCUGUAUUUCACAUCUGGAAUGCCCUUACUUCUGCCUCUAUUUCUCUGUCUUCCUUCUUCAGGAUGGCACAGUUCUGGCUGUGUGGCCCUGGGCAAGUCACUUCACCCUGUUUGCCUCAGUUUCCUUAUCUGUAAAAUAAGCCAGAGAAGGAAAUGGGAAACCACUCCAGUAUCUUCUUACCCAAAUGGGGUGAAAGAGUUAGACAUGAUUGAAAUGACUGAAUAACAACAAAAACCACCUUCUUCGGGGGGCUUUUCCCUGUCCCCAUACUUUUUGCUUUGCUCCUCAACUGCCAGUGCCUUCCACUCUUAGCUUAUUUUUACAUAAAUUGUACAUAUUAUAUAUCUACCUGGUUGUUGACUUUGCUAUCAGAAUAGGGGCACUUUUUUUUUUCUUUUUUACUCUUUCUUUCCAGUCCCAGCCCUUAGCACAGUACCUGGCACAUAUUAAGUGUUUAAUACAUACUUGCCAUUGUCUCCCUGCCUCAUAGAGCUGUUGUGAUGGAAUGUGAUUUGUAAACCUUAGAAUGCAGGGAAGGAAAGUAUGUGUACAGGUGGAGUAGUGAGAUGGUGAGAACUACUGUUAUUUUUCCUCUACUGAUAACCCUACUCUGAUGCCUGGAAGACACUGGGCAUUUAAAAGCUAGACCAGAAUGAAUCCGAGGAGGAUAAACCUAGCUAAGCGCAGAGAGGCUUAGCACCAAAAGCUUGACCAGGUGACGAUCUUUUUUGACCAUAGUCAUUCAGGCAGCAUGAAAAGACUUCUGUCUGUGUCAGUGGAGGGCAUUUUAGUACUCAUAAAACUAUGAAUAUUUUGAUAUUAUUUUCCCCAUUAUGUUAAUUAAUAUUAAAUAAUUACUAAUUAAUGUUGAAUAAUAUUAAUGUUAAGUAAAAUAUAUUUACUAAGGGCAGUUAGUGCCUACUGGGGAGAUCCCUGAGCCUGUGUUAAGAAAAUUGUGGGUUCCAAUCUGGUCUCAGACACUUAUUAGCUGGGUGAGUCACUUCACCCUGUUUGCCUCAGUUUCCUCAUCUGUAAAAUAAGUUGAAGAAGGAAAUGGCAAAUGACUCCACUGUCUUUGCCUAGAAAACCCAAAUGGGGUUACAGAAAGUUAGACACGACUGAAAAAUGACCGAACAACAAUAACAAUGUGAUUUAUUGCCUUACUCUGGCAUGAUACAUGCCAAUGUAAACAGUAUAAUAUGAUCAAAAGAGUACAGAAUUUGCAAUCAGAGUUCUUGUUUGCAAUCCCAGAUCCAAUCCUUAUUUGUGUGUGUUUGAACAGACACACCACAGACCCCUCUGGACUUGAGGUCAGCAAUACUCUGCUUUAAAUCUUUCCUCUGACACUUUCGGGCCAGUCACUUAAUCCAUGUGCCUCAGUUUUCCCAGCUGUAAAAUGGAAAUAGUAAUAACACCUACCUACCUACCAGGACUAUUAUGAGGAUCAGAUGAUAUUUGUAAAGCACCUAAAUACAAGCAUGAUUAUUGUUAUUUGUCUCUCUGAGCCUCAGUUUCCUUAAUUGUAAAAUGAUGAGAGAGUUGGAUUAUGAUAUAAUGCCAAGCAAUGAGUAGCCCUCUCUUACCAUUCACUGGAUACAUCACGUAGGGCAAUUCACAUCCAUCUUUCUGGCUGACAGUUUUCUCAUGGAUGGCCUCUAAACUCCUUUCUGGCUCCUAAUCUAUGCUCCUCUGAUCCCUUCCAACUUUAAAAUCUUUGCCAGGUUUUCUGAGUAACAAAAUCUUACAAAACCCAUUCCAGCGCUUGGAUAAUCCUGUUUCCUAAGAUUGCUGCCCCCCAGCCGUGCCAUCCUAGCACAUGUGCCCCUUGCAGAUGAGACAGGCGUGUGCAUGGAAGGAACACGUGGGUGCAUGCAAGGCCAGACCGAACAUGUCAGGGGCUCAAACGUGGCAUCUGGGACAGAAGGAGGAAAGGGAAGGGGGAAGGGCAGAAGAACACGGGCUGCGUAUUUUUUUUCCUAAAUCUGUGUUAAUAGUAAACAAAACUUGCUCCCUAAGUCUUUUAAGCAUGCGAUUUUUUAAAGACACAUUAACAUUUUGAUCGAUGGAAAGUUUGUUCACUAGAAAUACAGCUCUGCUUAAAAGCUCUCAAUGAGGCAGUAAGUUUAAAAGUCAUUCUAGUACAAAUGCCUCCUUUACAGAGGAGAAAACUGAAGCAAAGAGGGCAGGUUAGGGAGCUGGAUUACAAACUCUAUCCCCCUUCCCUUCCCCCUCACCCCCCCCCCCCACCCUCCCACUCCCCAUGAUAAAUCAAGUUCUUUCCAUUGUACAGGCUACCAGCUCCAAAGUUGAUCUGACUCAUUCCCUGUGGCCAGAGAGUUCUGGGGAAUGUGGGGGUGGGGUGGGAUGGGGUGGAAGAGGUGAGGAUACCUGGUGGGUGGAAAAUUUCCUAACGUUAAAGGCGGUGUCGGAAGGAGCCCCAGGCCACUGCACUCUUCCCAGGGGAAAUGGUGACUGCCCACACCAUUGCCCCUACCCCACUUUAUUCUUUAAAAAAACGGAGCUAGUUAUCCAAUGCCAAAGGAAACAAGCUAGUCCCACCCCACUAGAAAUGAUGACUGCCCACACUCUUGCCCUUACCCCACUUUAUUCUUUAAAAAAAAUGGAGCCAAUUAUCCAAUACCAAAGGGAACAAUCUAGUUCCACCCCACCCGCUUCACUUCCCUUAAGCAGUAUUUGCAAACCCUUGAUUGCUCUUAGGUACUCGAACCCACAUCCAAGUCUGUUUUUUAAUUGUCUCUUUGCAUUUGCAUCUGAUUAUUUCUUCUCUCUUAUCUAACAGUCCAUCCUUAGAGAGGCUUCAGGGGAGGAGAAAGUUAUCUAGACCACUGUCUUCAAAGGUGGGAUUUGGGGUCUGACCUCAAAGAGUAUGUAUUUCCUUAAGCACAGAUCUAACUCAGUGGAUUCCUAAUACUCUAGAUUAAAACAUAGACUCUUCUAUUUAGCUUUUAAAACCCUCCAAACCCAGCCCAAAUCUAUUUUUCCGGACUCAUCUGGAAAUUACUAUCCAUCCCACACUCUUCAAUAGAGCCACAUUGGCCUUCUCUUAUUUUUCUCACAUCCUUGUUGCACUAUUUAUUCAUCAGGAUUAGAGUGCACUACUUUUUUAAUUCAUCUCUUCCUAAAAUAACUCAAGUACCAUCUUCCGUGCGAAGUUUUCUUGAUCGCCUUCUAAUUUUGUAUUUAUUUACUUUAUCAUGUGCAUAUAUACCUAUACACACUUGUAUAUGCACAGGUAUAUACACACAUUUAUAUUAUAGAUAUGCGUAUUCACAAAAUAUACACUUAUACAUAUAUAGGGGGAGGAGAAGAGGGAAGAGAGAGAAUCUCUUGCUCUUAGACUGUAAUCUCCUUGCCCGCCUGCCUACUUUUGGCCAUUGUAUCAUCUCCCCAGUCCUAGGAGAGUGCCUGGCAUAUAAUGGGUUCUAAACAAAUACUUGUUUAAGAUAAUUCCAAUAGACGAGAUGGAAAAUGUCAUCCUCAUCGAGAGAGAACUAUGGAGAUUGAAGGUGGAAGGAAGAAUAAUACUUUCACCUUUUUGUUUGAUUGCUUUUUCUUUCUUGUGGUUUUUUUCUCUUUUGUUCUGAUUUUUCUCGCACAUGACAAAUAUGGAAAUAUGUUUAAAAGUUUGCACAUAUUUAACCUACUUAUUAACCUAUUGCUUGUUGGGAAGGAGAAAGAAAAAAAUGGAAUACAAAGUCUUACAAAAAUGAAUAUUGAAAACUAUUUUUACAUGUGUUUGGAAAAAUAAAAUCCUAGCUAUACCCAGAAAAAGAACUCUGGGAGAUGACUAAAAACCAUUACAUUGAAUUCCCAGUCCCUAUAUUUAUGCCCACCUGCAUCUUUGAUUUCCUUCACAAGCUAAUUGUACAAUAAUUCAGAGUCUGAUUCUUUUUGUACAGCAAAAUAAUGAUGUGGUCAUGUAUACUUAUUGUGUAUCUAAAUUAUAUUUUAAUAUAUUUAACAUCUACUGGUCAUCCUGCCAUUUAGGGGGUGGGGGGGGGUAAGAGGUGAAAAAUUGGAACAAGAGGUUUGGCAAUUGUUAAUGCUGUAAAGUUACCCAUGUAUAUAUAUCCUGUAAAUUAAAGGCUAUUAAAUAAAAAAAAAAAAAAAAAAAAAAAAAAGAUCUUAAAUAAAAAAAAAUAAUAAUAAUAAUUAAAAAAAAAAAAAAAGAAAAAUAAAAUCCUAUUAAGAAAAAAACAUACUUGCUGAUUGUGUAAAUGGUGAAGUAGUGGGGUGGGAAAUAGUGGGGUGGGAAGAUAGGCUAUAUCCCACUUUCCCUAUAAAAGUUAAUCAGGCCUUGUCUACUCUAGACAACCAUUCCUAUCUUUAUCUGCCCCCACUUUUACAGUCUCUGUAAGAAACUCUCUCUCCUGAAAGCUUCUAUUGCCCCACUUUAGAGCCCAUGGAUGGGUCCCCCAGGGGAAGCAUAACAUAACUGUUACGGGGAUCCCAUAAGCGGCAGUUACCCAGAUGUCCUUGAGAAUUCCUCCCCACCCCACUCCUUGUCCCUCAGAUACCCUCAGAGCCUUUUCAGGAAUCCCUCAGAGGGCCAGUUCUACUGUCUGGGGCAGUGACCUAUGAGUAAGAGCUCUGUCUUCCCUUCCUCCCUUUUGGGUGGGGCAGGGUGAGUCACACCAUGGACUCUAGAUCUCAUCUUAUUUUCUUUUCUUCCAUAUCGCCUUCCUGACUUCCCUAUCUCUGUUGGGGAUACCAUCUCCACCUUGCCAAUAAUCCAGGCUCUUCCACACACAGCAUAUCCCAAUAGUUACAAUUCUUGAAGAGUUUUGGGACACUGCAUUGAGUAGGUCCUGUCUCUACUUCCACAAUAUCUCUAGAAUUUGUUCCCUUCACACAGCACUUUAUUCCCUCUUGGCUGGACUCUUGCAAUAGCUUCUU